CGAUGCAAUCAUUUCAAAGAUAAAGCACCAGAUCCCAUCAGAACUCUGCAGUUAAGUGUGCUUGGGCUAGAGUAGUACUGGGAUGGGUGACCUCCCAGGAAGCCUUAGUGUUGCACCCU
rfam:Picea glauca, whole genome shotgun sequence.